AUUGAACGCUGGCGGCAGGCCUAACACAUGCAAGUCGAGCGAGCGGCGGACGGGUGAGUAAUGUCUGGGAAACUGCCCGAUGGAGGGGGAUAACUACUGGAAACGGUAGCUAAUACCGCAUACCAUCAGCUUUGCCCAGAUGGGAUUAGCUAGUAGGUGGGGGAAUGGCUCACCUGGGCGACGAUCCCUAGCCGGUCUGAGAGGAUGACCAGCCGCACGGGAACUAAGACACGGUCCAGACUCCAACGGGAGGCAGCAGGGGGGAUUAAUGCACAAUGGGCGGAAGCCGGAUGCAGACAGGACGCGUAUGUGAAGAAGGCCGUCGGGUUGAAAAGCACUUUCAGCGGGGAGGCGUUACCCGCAGAAGAAGAACCGGCUAACUCCGUGACAGCAGCCGCGGUAAUAC
rnacentral:rRNA from 1 species